rfam:Trichobilharzia regenti genome assembly, scaffold: TRE_scaffold0003864
AUCCAGAUGACGAGUACCAAAUAGGAUGAAAUGCCCAUCCUGGAU